AUGGCAACCCAAGGCGAGGCAAUCCCAGGCAAGGCAAUCCCAGGUAAGGCAAUCCCAGGCAAGGCAAGGCAAGGCAGGGCAGGGCAGGGCAGGGUAGGGCAUGGCAAGGCAGGACGGGGCAGGGUGGGGCCGGGCAGGGCAGAGCAGGGCAAGGCAAGUUGGCAAGGCAAAAGGCAGCAAGGAAAACGGUGGCAAGGCAAAAGGUGGCAAGGCAAAAGGCAUCAAGGCAAAAGGAGGCAAAAGUCAGCAAGGCAAAAGGCGGCAAAGGGUGGCAAGGCAAAAGAAGAAGAAGGCAGGCAAGUAAAAAGAAAGAAAAAGAAAGCAGGCAAGGCAAAAGAAGAAGAAGGCAGGCAAGGCAAAAGAAGAAGAAGAAGGUGGGCAAAGCAAAAGAAGAAGAAGAAGGCUGGCAAGGCAAAAGAAAGAAGAAGAAGGCAGGCAAGGCAAAAGAAAGAAGAAGAAGGCAGGCGAGGCAAAAGAAGAAGAAGGCAGGCGAGGCAAAAGAAAGAAGAAGAAGGCAGGCGAGGCAAAAGAAAGAAGAAGAAGGCAGGCGAGGCAAAAGAAAGAAGAAGAAGGCAGGCAAGGCAAAAGAAGAAGAAGGCGGGCAAGGCAAAAGAAGAAGAAGGCGGGCAAGGCAAAAGAAGAAGAAGGCGGGCAAGGCAAAAGAAGAAGAAGGCAGGCAAGGCAAAAGAAGAAGAAGAAGGCAGGCGAGGCAAAAGAAAGAAGAAGAAGGCAGGCGAGGCAAAAGAAAGAAGAAGAAGGCAGGCAAGGCAAAAGAAGAAGAAGGCGGGCAAGGCAAAAGAAGAAGAAGGUGGGCAAGGCAAAAGAAGAAGAAGGCGGGCAAGGCAAAAGAAGAAGAAGGCAGGCAAGGCAAAAGAAGAAGAAGAAGGCAGGCAAGGCAAAAGAAGAAAAGAAGGAAGGAUGGCAAGCAAAAGAAUUAAAGAAGGAAGGAAGGCAAGGCAAAAGAAAAGAAGGAAGGCAGGGCAAGGUAAAAGAAGGCAACGCAAAAGAAUGCAAGGCAAAAGAAGGCAAGGUAAAAGAAGGCAAGGCAAAGAAGGCAAGGCAAAAGGAGGCAGGCAAGGCAAAAGAAGGCAGGCAAGGCAAAAGAAGGCAGGCAAGGCAAAAGAAGGCAAGGCAAUGCAAAAGGCAAGGCAAGGCAAGGCAACUCAAUUUCUGGCAAAGCAAGACAAUUCCAGGGAAGGCAAUUCAAGGCAAGGCAAAAUAAGGCAAGGCAAAAGGCAAGGCAAUGCAAAAGGUAAGGCAAGGCAAGGCAAGGCAAGGCAACUCAAUUUCUGGCAAAGCAAGACAAUUCCAGGGAAGGCAAAUCAAGGCAAGGCAAGGCAAGGCAAGGCAAGGCAACACAAGGCAAGGCAAUUCUAG
rnacentral:lncRNA from 1 species